UUAGACAGCGCUUUUAGAAAGCGCUGUCUAAGACCCCCCCUUAGACAACGCUUUUAGAAAGCGCUUUUAAAUAUAGACCUUAGUCAGCGCUUUUGAGAAAGCGUUGUUUAAAGUCUUUCAAUUAAAAAACAAAUUAAAACCAAAAGCGCUGUCUAAGGUGGGGGUUUAGACAGCGCUUUUGGAAAGCGCUGUCUAAGGCUUAUCUUAGAAAGCGCUUUCCACAAAAGCGUUGUCUAAGGUCUAAUUAAAAUUAAAUUUCAGACUUCUAUUUUCGUUCUCAAUUCUUUUUGUUUUCCCUCCUGCGAUUAAACCCCUCCAGCGAACCCUAACAGCGAACGAUUUGUCCUUACCGAUUGUAUAUCCUAUGUAAG
rnacentral:lncRNA from 1 species